rnacentral:lncRNA from 1 species
CCAUGACAUAGGCCAAAGGGAACUCGGCUUCGUCUUUGGACACAGGUUCCAUUAUGCAGUGAUUUCGGAUCAAGUAUCGCUGGCAGGUUAUUAUUUCUCAAUGGCGUCACUGGUAUAUUUUCAUCCAAGAACAUUUUCUUGCCUGUCACAAUCAUGCCACACACUUCUGCAAGGACUGAAGAGUUUGAGAUCUUCCCCCAUGGAAGAUAUUUUUGCGGGACCUAAUAGUUACUAUACAGGAAUAAAAGAGUUAUGGACGUGGCCAUAAGCCCUAGGACCAACCCAAAUGCCUCUACCUUUAUUUUUCCUAUGGUCUUUUCUGGAUUCAUCAUUCACCUGAUUUUAUGCCAUUGCUGAAGUCAGUCUGCAGGUCCCUGCCCAGACUUGAGAAAUGUGCUCUAGCAACUUAUUUGCAGCAAGAAGUGCAAUAUGACCAUUUACUUAAAAGAAGGAGGAUCAACCACAAGUCGGUAGCUCUUCUAUUUAAAAAAUCAGGUGACUCUUUGAACAUGAGCCAGUGGGGCCAGCUGACCACUUCACAAAAGCCAGGCACAGUUGGGCACCUCUGUCUAGGUCAACCACAAAUUAAGACCCUAGCAAAUCGGCCACAGCUGCCAGCUCAGGGUGUUUUUCCCAUGUGGAGUACAGGUGGAAUGUGUGUUCAUUUGGCACCUCUUUUUCCCAUGCAGAGCCACCAUCACCAUCACUGAUGUCACCUUUGAAUGCAAGGGACACUAUAUUUCUUCAACUUCAGGCAAUCACAGUUGUCCUGAAGUAGGUCACCAUUUACGUGGACAGCACCCAGAACUCCUCGAUAGUGGGGUCUCUUUACUUAAAAAUAAAGAUCAAGAAUUUAUAGUAUUUCAGGAUUGAAAGGAAUCUUGCAGAUUAUUCUCACCAAUUGAUUCAGUUACAAAUAAAGAACACUGACAAUGACCCAUAACGACUAUUCUAUCACAUUUUGUCUCCAUUUUCUCACUGAUGGCCUGAGAGGGCCUAUGGCUGCUUUCACGUUACAAUGGCAGGGCUAAGUUGUUGCCACAUCUGACCACCGAAGCUUAAAAUGUUUUCCAUCUGGCCUUUACCAGAGAAGGUUUGCUGACCCUCUCCUCUGUAUCUACGGAUGUCCCUUGUAUACCACUGUGCUUGCACUACAUCAAGACAGCGAUUGUGGACUUGAUACCAUUUUACAACUUUUUGCUUUAUUUUCAAGAUUUCCUCGUGAAUGCCAGAAUGACACGAUAUUUGGUAGCAAAGCAUGAGCUUCAAAGAGAGGUUUGCGUGGGUCUAGAUCCUGGCUUUGCUAGUUCCUAGUUGUGUGACGUUGGGCAAAUCACUUUUCCUAUCUGUCUUAAUUUCUUUGUCAGUAAAAUAAAGAUAAUACCAGUAGGGCUGUUUUGUGAGUUGAUGUGUUAAUAAGUAGAAUGCACUCUGAGCAGUAUUCACGCAUAGUGAACACUCUGAAAUGCUAGCUAUUCUCACUGCACACGAUCGCUUCUAGGGGCUACCUGUACCGCCAGUGAACUGGAAACUCACCCCACUGCACUUUGCCUGACACCGAGUGGCCCAAGCUUUGGCGAGAGGCAGUGCUGCCACACAGUGGCUCUAUAUGGGGUGGCUUGGCACACUCUUCCUUUUUUUUUUUUAGGUGAUUGCAAAUCUAUGGAUGAGACCAAGGGAGAAUUUUCACGCCAUCAUAGCAUUUUAUUCCUCACCUGACUGGGAGCAGCUCGAAGGGAAGGACAUGUCUCCAAAGACAUGAGGAGUAUUCAACGUGGCAUUCGAGGCGCAAGGAAAAACCUGCCUAUCCCAAGAUCUCAGCCCCAUCAGCCAGCCAAGGGAUCCACAAUGACCCUUAUGAAGUUUCAUAAGGAAGCUAAUUGCUUAAAUGAGAUUUGAGUCAAGAAGGAUGACCUAGCAAUAACCUCUAUAUAUCUCAUUAUGCCAAAACUUAAAUGGCUACAUAAGAGGACAGUCCAGUGACAGACAUGGAAAGAGGCUUAGAGGUCAUCUCAUUCAUCACACCAUUUUACAGAGGAAAGCAAAAUGCCAUCCAGAGAAGGAAAGUCACAAAGCCAUCUAACCCCAGACCUGGGAGUAGCAGCUGAUCACAGCGGGUCGGACACAAGAAGCUGCUUCCAAAAAUCUUUCCUUCCAUUUGUCCUACAGAGAAGACAUCAGAAAACAAAAUUUUAUAAGCAUGUCUCUAGCUCUAACUCACUAUUCAACUAAAGGACAAAUUAAAUAGGGAAUGAGAUAACCUUAACUUCAUGAGAUUUGUUCUUAUAUGCAGUUUUCUACCCUGAGAAACCAAUCUAUGCUAAAGAUAAUAUUUGUGCUUUUCAAUGAGGCUGGUAAAAUAUUUGCACUUUGAAGCUCAGAGCGAUAACAUUUAUUCAUUCGGGUGAAACUUAUCAGGAUUAGGUAAAUAUAAUCGAAGCAAAACAAAAAUGAUUUGGGAAACUUUGUGACCAAAACCAACAGGCGUAUUCAGUACUCCUUUGAAGGUCACCUAAUUCUAAUAACAUUUAUAUUUAUAAAUGUCCUCUAAGUCUUUUAUCUUCUGCAAAUAAAUUAUUUCUCACAAUUACAGGUUAGUCCAAUACAUCAGCCUAUUUUCAGAGUCCAGAGUUCUAACCAUUACACGAUGGAACCAGCCUAUUUUCAAGCACAUACUCAGUGUCUCCAGGAUGAGGACACAUUGUGGGGCUUUUCACAACUUCUCUCUCCCAUCACCUGCCCCUCUCCUUCCAUAUUUAAUAUAUUGUUGCAUUUCUGUCAAAUUAGCUGGAAGAGUAGUGUUUAAUCAGGUGUACACACUGCCACAGUAACCUGGAAACUUCAAAUUCUACCCCUAAUCACUAAUGUUGAAGACUUGCUAAAACAGGUUUUUUUGUUUGUUUGUUUUGCUUUUUGAGACGGAGUCUAGCUCUGUUGCCCAGGCUGGAGUGCUGUGGUGCAAUUAUCAGCUCACUGCAACCUCUGCCUCCUGGGUUCAAACAAUUCU